rnacentral:rRNA from 1 species
GACGAACGCUGGCGGCGUGCUUAACACUUGCAAGUCGAACGGAAAGGCCCUGCUUGCAGGGUACUCGAGUGGCGAACGGGUGAGUAACACGUGGGUGAUCUGCCCUGCACUUCGGGAUAAGCCUGGGAAACUGGGUCUAAUACCGGAUAGGAGCCAUUUUUAGUGUGAUGGUUGGAAAGUUUUUUCGGUGUAGGAUGAGCUCGCGGCCUAUCAGCUUGUUGGUGGGGUAAUGGCCUACCAAGGCGGCGACGGGUAGCCGGCCUGAGAGGGUGGACGGCCACAUUGGGACUGAGAUACGGCCCAGACUCCUACGGGAGGCAGCAGUGGGGAAUAUUGCACAAUGGGCGCAAGCCUGAUGCAGCGACGCCGCGUGGGGGAUGACGGCCUUCGGGUUGUAAACUCCUUUCGCUAGGGACGAAGCUUUUUGUGACGGUACCUAGAUAAGAAGCACCGGCUAACUACGUG